rnacentral:lncRNA from 1 species
CCUUAUAACAAAUUCCAGGGUGGCGCCUGAGAAAAAUGCAUGUUUUCUUUUUCAGGGCAAUGAAGCUCUACUGGAUUCUACUGAAACUUCUCUUUCUAACUGUGCUGACAUCCGGAACGUCAAGCCCCUAUCAGGUGGAAUUACACCUGGGUAAUUAUAAAUGAGGCCCGAGAUACAGCCUUUACCACCUCCCACACUGGCCCUAACCCCACCUGGCCACAAUUAAGUCCAGAUUUAUGUAAACUACCUGCAGGAGGAAAUUCUUACUGGGGUCUUGCAGACAAAUACUUACCCCUAGAUAAAGUCCCUCAUGGGUCUAGUUUUAACGAAAGAUAUGUCAGUUGUGACACUGUCCAUUGACGCACCAACAUUAGGGAAACUGACUUUUACAUCUGCCCUGAAUCCCACAGAGAUCGCUCCCUAAACUAUAAGUGUGGAUACAGGGAUCAAUUCAAUUGUGCCUCCUGGGGGUGUGAAACCACAGGAGAUACUUACUGACUGGAAUCCCUCAUCCACAUGGGAUUAUAUCACCGUGGAUGUGGAUACACAAAAUAAACCUCACCACUGCACCAGUUGGUGCAACCCCUUGAUGAUUAAUUUCACUCCCCAAGGAAAUGCAAAAGAUUGGACAAAGGAGCCACGAGGCCUCUCCUGGGGCCUUUGCCUCUAUCUGAGUGGCUAUGACCAGGGACUCUAUUUUACCAUAAAGUUACUCAAAGCUGUCCCUAGCACAUACAGGGCUUCUAUUGGACCAAACCCUGUUCUUCAUAAUUUUGUUCCCUCUCUGCCUAAAAAAGGCUCAGAGCCCAAAAACCCGGUGGCCACACAGGCCCCACAAGAUUCCCUCGUGGGUACUGUCUCUCAGCCAACCAUUCCUCCAGGCCCUAUGCCAUCCUCCAGAGUCAUACUUUCCAUCCUUAAUGCAUCUGCCUCAGCUUUACUUCUCCAAGAGCAGAUGAACAAUUCCUCCAAAUAUGUGGAAUGUUGGAUGUGCUUUUCUGCCUCCCCUCCAUUUUAUGAAGGCAUUGCACUUUUUGGAGAAUUUAUUUAUUCCAAUGAAUCCAAUGUCCUAUAUGGAGGCUCUUUAGGAUUUACCCUCACUGAGGUAUCCGGGGUGGGAAGUUGUAUUUUGGGAGAACAUAUGCUCCCUCCUCACCAGCUGUUAGAAAUAUGCAACCAUACCUUGGUUGUUAACAAACAUCAUGAGUACCUGCUCGCCCCAAACCAUACCUAUCUGGCAUGUUCAUCAGGGCUGAAUACCUAUGUAAUAAUAUCUGAUUUCUUACAGCAGCGCGAUUAUUACGUAUUAGUACAAUUACUCCCCAGACUCAGCAUUCAUGAGCCACAAGAUAUCUUGGAUUUUUGGGAUAGAAACCCUGGUGCAGCCCAUCGAGAGAAGAGAGAGCCUAUAUCGGCCAUCACUCUCGCAGUCCUCUUGGGGUUAGGGACAGCAGGGACAGGAAAAGGCAUCGCUUCUCUUGUGACUUCCCAACAAAAUCAACAACGCUAUCAUUUACUCAGCGCUGCAAUUGACCAGGACCUAGCUGAGCUGAGAGAGGGCUUAGCCAAUUUAAAAGAUUCUGUUGCCUCCCUUUCAGAAGUAGUACUGCAAAAUAGAAGAGAGCUUGAUUUGCUCUUCCUACAACAAGGAGGACUUUGUGCAGCCUUAAAAGAGAAUGCUGUGUUUAUGUAGAUAAGACUGGACUUGUAGAAACAGUCUAAGAAAAGUGAGAGAUAGCCUGGAAAAACAAAAAAGGGAGAGAGAGCAACAGGAGUCCUGGUAUAAAAACUGGUUCUCCACAUCCCCAUGGCCCUCUACCCUGCUGCCUUCAAUUUUGGGACCCCUUGUGGGCCUAUUUUUGUUGAUUUCCUUCGGUCCUUGGGCCUUUCAGCAACUUACACGCUUUAUUAAAUCACAAAUAGAUUCUGCUUUGCCUAGAAAUUCUGUUUCAGUACAUUAUCAUCGCUUGGAGACGGGAACAGCUGAGGAGAACCAGAGAGACAACGAACAAGAUGAGGUGCCCACUACAUAUCGGGAGAGGCUCAAUUUCCACAAUCUCUUAAAUUAAUGCCAUCUGGCCCCUACUCUUUCGCCUCUGGGC